UACAGAGGUCUCAAGCGUUGUUCGGAUUCAUUGGGCGUAAAGGGUGCGUAGGCGGCGUGGUAAGUCGGAUGUGAAAUCUCGGAGCUUAACUCCGAAACUGCAUUCGAUACUGCCGUGCUUGAGGACUGGAGAGGAGACUGGAAUUUACGGUGUAGCGGUGAAAUGCGUAGAUAUCGUAAGGAAGACCAGUGGCGAAGGCGGGUUGCUGGGCCGACACUGACGCUGAUGCGCGAAAGCCAGGGGAGCGAACGGG
rnacentral:rRNA from 1 species